GAUCCAAACACCUUGUCUGCAUUUCAUGGAGCUCCAAUUUCUGCCCUCAAAGGGUUAGAUCUGAUGGCACAUUGUCACAACAUAGACUUUCCUGGCUGGGGAUCCAAGUCCUGUGAGUAAUCAGAACUUCAUCUGAGUAUCAUGAGGAGGUGCCUCGGCCGAGGACGUUGUUCAGGACAACAUGGACAUGGGCUUUGCACAAGGCAAACCAUAAGGACUUGAACUGCCCGUGUCAUUCUCGGGCUUCUAUCAGUUGAACCUCUGAUGUAAGGAAAACUAUUGACAUUGCCAGAAUCUAUACUUAUUGUGAACCUGGAUUCCCCAGGUGGAUGAGUUUGGGAUGAAUCAGGAGAGGAGCCAUCCUGAGUGGGGACAGCCAUGAGUUAACGGCGGCACACGCAGAAUCAGUAAAACUUGGUGAUCAUAGGCCAACUCCCUGGUGCCUGAGCAUGGAGGAUGGCACAGGUGGGGCGCGCCUGAGGGGUCUGGCUCUAAUGCUUCCCCAGCUGUCAUGGCAGAGCGAACCACGCAGGAAACUGACAGUCCCUGCCCUGAGGUCCGUUGCUGUCCCCUCCCUGUUGUCUGAGGUGGGCCAGCCACAGAACCUUUCCGCUUUGGAGAGGAGGCCCUCCUGUCUGAAGUUCUGCUACAGCUCCCCUCCAGCCCUGGCUCUCCUUCUUCUCAUCUCGAGGCUGACUUGCCUGGAGAUCUGCCCAGGUGUUUUAGUCUGGCACUUGCCUAACUCCGUUCUGCUCUCUUGGUUUCUGACUCUGGACUCACCCCUGUGCUCUGCUCUUGUGGUUGGACCUCCUGGACACCCUCUGCAAGGCUGCCCUGGGUCCUCUUGCAUCUAGUUUACUACCAUCUCAGGGUGCAGGGUGCUGGUGGUCUGGCCUCCUUAGGUGACUAGGAUAGAUACCUGAGCCCCUCCUGGGGAUGAGGGGAUGGCUUCAGGAGUGAAUCUUCUCGUUGAUUCCUUUUGUCUACUACCCAGUGGUUGGUGUGUCUUUGUCUAGUUCAACCUCUGUCACUGAAUGUCUGGGUGACCACCCAGGAAGUAAAUGAACCAUGUUGACCUCUGUGAUCUCAUAUUUAUAAUAGGUUUCCUGGUUCCCUAGCAAAGAAUAAGCUUAUUAUACCAUACCAAAGGAAAUCCCAAACU
rnacentral:lncRNA from 1 species